rnacentral:rRNA from 1 species
AUGAACGCUGGCGGCGUGCCUAAUCCCUGCAAGUCGAGCGAACGGACGAGAAGCUUGCUUCUCUGAUGUUAGCGGCGGACGGGUGAGUAACCCGUGGAUAACCUACCUAUAAGCCUGGGAUAACUUCGGGAAACCGGAGCUAAUACCGGAUGAUAUUUUGAACCCCCUGGUUCAAAAGUGAAAGACGGUCUUGCUGUCACUUAUAGAUGGAUCCGCGCUGCAUUAGCUAGUUGGUAAGGUAACGGCUUACCAAGGCAACGAUGCAUAGUCGACCUGAGAGGGUGAUCGGCCACACUGGAACUGAGACACGGUCCAGACUCCUACGGGAGGCAGCAGUAGGGAAUCUUCCGCAAUGGGCGAAAGCCUGACGGAGCAACGCCGCGUGAGUGAUGAAGGUCUUCGGAUCGUAAAACUCUGUUAUUAGGGAAGAACAUAUGUGUAAGUAACUGUGCACAUCUUGACGGUACCUAAUCAGAAAGCCACGGCUAACUACGUG